rnacentral:lncRNA from 1 species
ACAUAAACUCAAGUUUCUCAAUACUAAUCUCUCUGACCAUGUUAAAUUGAGGCUGUAAAGAUUUUAACCCUUGAUUGUUUAUCCACAUGAUUCUCUAUACUUUUCUUUUGUUUCCGAGUGUCCAGGCAGAUUGCUGUUUAUGUACUCUCUGAAUGAAUGUAGCUCAUUUUUUUGCACACUCUUCUGUUUAUAUAAGCAAAACCUUGAAUGAUAUCAUCCUGUUAUCUAUUAUGCUAGAGCAGAACAAGAAAAUUAAUGAACCAAUAUUAGAGGAAAAAUUCUCAAAUAAUAACAAUUGAUUUUGUCUACGUAGGAAGAAUUUCUCGUAUUAGAGAUAAUUGAUCUGAUAGGGAACCCAUCCCCAUUAUAUAUUAUGAACCAGUAAAUAUUUUAAAAGAGAGUGAUAAGUUACUCAUACCUGCUGCCAGAAGGUCGAUUUAGCAGCUUUCCAGGGGUGAUUUCAACAAAUCACUAAGCUUAUUCAUUCGCCUAUGUUAAGGUUAUUCAAUAUAAUGGCAGCCCUUGUAUAAGAAAAAUAAAAGUACCCGUGCAUUUGUAAAUUUCCUGGUGUGCUGUACUGCCCUUACUGUUUCCUUCUUUUCUUUUCUUUUUUGUGUUUUAUGAUGAUUGAUUGCACUACUUUUGACGGCAGCAAAUGCGGACAAUGGAGCACCGCCAUUUUUAUAACAGAAGAAACAGAUGUUGGACAUUAAUUUCGCUUGUUUGGCUCCGUAGCAAUCAUUUUAUUAACACAACUAUCAUCUUCCAAUUUCUACAUAUCGUUCCCCUCUUUUUGUACUUUCUCUAGAGCUCUAGCUAUAGCUAUUCCAUGCAAGAUCAGCUUUCACAGCUUCAAUUCAAGAAAUGGGUUUUGUGGAAACGGAAGAAUUUUUUCAAGCACUGCGGGGCAAUGCAGGGAUGAUUAUUCUGAAACGUACGUGGGGCAGAGAAUACGACUUUUUACUUUUAUUGAUAAAAAAUCAAGCCGCCACACCACCACUUAUAUUAUUAACCAAACCAUCUCUCAAGUUUUUG